AAUUCAGCUUCUUAGUCAUUUUCAGAACUUAACCCAGCAGAUGGCGCUUCAUAUCAUCAUCCUCAUAGCGGGCGUACCCAUAGGGGUCGCUACCUAUGAUGAUUCACAGUUCUGGCCCAUUGAUGCCGAUCAGUGGGUUUAUGUUUGUUUUGAUAGCCCGUGAUCAUAACGUUUAGUCAGGGAUUUAUUUUUUGUUUAUGUAUAGUUAUGACACUGCUAGUCCGGACCAGUUUGGAGAUAGUAGAAGUUUCCUCCAAGAAGUAGUUCGAAGAUCGGAUUAUUUUUUUGUAUAUGAUCAGUGUUUUAUUUUGUGAUCCCUGGCUGUUUGUAUUAGCUGAAUUAUUACUAAGACUUAUAACAUAUGUGAAAUUAUGGGUAUUAAUCUACAUUUUGUGUUUAUUGUA